UGUGAUGUCAUAUGAUGGAUGUGACAUCACAGAGGAGCCUUGAUGUCAGAACAAGGAUUGAUGUCACAGGAGAGGUGUGAUGUCACAGAAAGGAUGUGAUGUCACAGGCGAGCAUGGGAUGUCACAGGAAUGAUAUGUUAUUGCAGGAGAGAUGUGAUGUCACAAAGAAACUGUGAUGUCAUAGGGGAGCUGGGAUGUCAUGGGGGAUGUG